rnacentral:rRNA from 1 species
CCUACGGGAGGCAGCAGUGGGGAAUAUUGCACAAUGGGGGAAACCCUGAUGGAGCGACGCCGCGUGAAGGAAGAAGUAUUUCGGUAUGUAAACUUCUAUCAGCAGGGAAGAAAAUGACGGUACCUGACUAAGAAGCCCCGGCUAACUACGUGCCAGCAGCCGCGGUAAUACGUAGGGGGCAAGCGUUAUCCGGAUUUACUGGGUGUAAAGGGAGCGUAGGCGGAUUAGCAAGUCAGAAGUGAAAGCCCGGGGCUCAACUCCGGGACUGCUUUUGAAACUGUUGAACUAGAGUGCAGGAGAGGUAAGUGGAAUUCCUGGUGUAGCGGUGAAAUGCGUAGAUAUUAGGAGGAACACCAGUGGCGAAGGCGGCUUACUGGACUGUAAAUGACGCUGAGGCUCGAAAGCGUGGGGAGCAAACAGGAUUAGAUACCCGUGUAGUC